AAAGAAAAUUGGUUAACUGGAUUGCUGAACAUGGAGGAUGGACGGCAAUCAAAGAGUAUGCAAUGGCGACUGUCCGCGGUGCAUCGAAUAUUCAGGUCGCUGGUGUAUUGUGUCUCGGUGUUUCUGUGAUCUUAAUCGCUAUUGGUCGGAGCUCAUCGUAACAAUGUGUUCGUUCGACUUUAAGCCUCCAGCUACCGUAAAGGCAUAAGUUGGUAUUAAAUUUCACUAAAUUUUAAAAUCAAAGACUAUUUAACUCUGUGUAGCGUUUACAGUGAUUGUUUGUCGUAUAUCUUGCCAAGUGUUUAGCUGUUAAUUGCUUUUUCUCGAAAAGCUUGACUCUGGAUGAUUUAUUUUUAGUUGAAGAUUGUAUGUGUCAAAGUUUUAUGGUAAAUGGCGUUUUAAAAUAUCUAUCAAAGGAUUUGCAAAAUCAUACAUUAAGCAACGUUGUAUUUAUUUCAUUGAAAUUUGUUCACCAUUAAAAGCAGUCUUUGCGUGUCAAA